rnacentral:rRNA from 2 species
UGAUUCCUUCGGGAAGAAGAAUUUGUGACUGAGUGGCGGACGGGUGAGUAACGCGUGGGUAACCUGCCUUAUACAGGGGGAUAACAGUUAGAAAUGACUGCUAAUACCGCAUAAGCGCACGGUCUCGCAUGAGAUAGUGUGAAAAACUCCGGUGGUAUAAGAUGGACCCGCGUCUGAUUAGCUAGUUGGUGGGGUAACGGCUCACCAAGGCGACGAUCAGUAGCCGACCUGAGAGGGUGAUCGGCCACAUUGGGACUGAGACACGGCCCAAACUCC